rnacentral:lncRNA from 1 species
GCUUAAAGAAAAAUGUUUUGUUUGUAUCUGACCCAAGUUAUCAAAAUAAUAUAAAAAAAAAAAAAUGAUUUUCUUGGAAAAUUAGAUACCUUUAGUGGUUUUUGCACAAUGCAUUUCACUAAGUUUGGGGUUGCUUUUGGAACUAGCAACAACUUAAGUUUGGGGUGGAUAUACUAUACUAGAGAACUAAAAAAAUUAUGAAAGAAAAAUUCCAAAUUAUGAAAGAAAAAUUCAAAAGUUCACCAAGAAAAGAAGUAUCGAAAAGAAAAAAAGAAGAAAAAAAAAA